rnacentral:rRNA from 1 species
AGUAACGACGUAAAGAACUUGCCCUUUAGACUGGGAUAACAGAGGGAAACUUCUGAUAAUACUGGAUAAGUUAGUAUAUCGCAUGAUAUGCAAAUGAAAGCUACGGCACUAAAGGAGAGCUUUGCGUCCUAUUAGCUAGUUGGUAAGGUAAGAGCUUACCAAGGCGAUGAUAGGUAGCCGGCCUGAGAGGGUGGACGGCCACAAGGGGGACUGAGAUACGGCCCUUACUCCUACGGGAGGCAGCAGCG